rnacentral:rRNA from 1 species
AAUGAACGCUGGCGGCAGGCCUAAAACAUGCAAGUCGAGCGGCCCUAGCAAUAGGGAGCGGCGCACGGGUGAGUAACACGUGGGAAUAUGCCCUUUUGGUACGGGAACAACCUCGGGAAACUGAGGCUAAUACCGUAUGGUCCCUUCGGGUAAGAUUAUCGCCAAAAGAGUAGCCCGCGUUGGAUUAGACUAGUUGGUAAGGUAACGGCUUACCAAGGCGACGAUCCAUAGCUGGUCUGAGAGGACGAUCAGCCACACUGGGACUGAGACACGGCCAGA